GGGGCUGAUCGGUUUCGACGGCGAGCCUGGGAGUCGAACGUGCGACCCGAGUUGCUCAGACUCGUUAAACGGGGCACCCAACAGAGACGCCAACACGGCUGAUCUCGACCUCGCCGCCUGAUCCGUCAGGCAGCAGGUUGAAUAGCGACCAGAGAUGGCACGCGGGGCCGCUCCACCGCAGCCCGGCAACAGAAGCGGGGGAUGACGGCAGCAAAGACUGCUGACGGCGGGAAAGACCGCUGACAUCGGGGAAAGAUCCGGCGGCGGGCGCGAGCCCACCCGACCCGGCGGGGUGGCAGCCGUGAGCCACUAGCGCGGGAAUGGUCGUAGCGCGGACGAUGACCUCUCGGCGGACGAGGGUUCGAUUCCCUCCAGCUCCACCA
rnacentral:tmRNA from 1 species